CUGGAGGUAUCAGAAGUGCGAAUGCUGACAUAAGUAACGAUAAAGCGGGUGAAAAGCCCGCUCGCCGGAAGACCAAGGGUUCCUGUCCAACGUUAAUCGGGGCAGGGUGAGUCGACCCCUAAGGCGAGGCCGAAAGGCGUAGUCGAUGGGAAACGGGUUAAUAUUCCCGUACUUGGUGUUACUGCGAAGGGGGGACGGAGAAGGCUAUGUUGGCCGGGCGACGGUUGUCCCGGUUUAAGCGUGUAGGUGUGUGUUCCAGGUAAAUCCGGUUCACUUUAACACUGAGGCGUGACGACGAGGCACUACGGUGCUGAAGCAACAAAUGCCCUGCUUCCAGGAAAAGCCUCUAAGCAUCAGGUAACAUCAAAUCGUACCCCAAACCGACACAGGUGGUCAGGUAGAGAAUACCAAGGCGCUUGAGAGAACUCGGGUGAAGGAACUAGGCAAAAUGGUGCCGUAACUUCGGGAGAAGGCACGCUGACACGUAGGUGAAGUGAUUUACUCACGGAGCUGAAGUCAGUCGAAGAUACCAGCUGGCUGCAACUGUUUAUUAAAAACACAGCACUGUGCAAACACGAAAGUGGACGUAUACGGUGUGACGCCUGCCCGGUGCCGGAAGGUUAAUUGAUGGGGUCAGCGCAAGCGAAGCUCCUGAUCGAAGCCCCGGUAAACGGCGGCCGUAACUAUAACGGUCCUAAGGUAGCGAAAUUCCUUGUCGGGUAAGUUCCGACCUGCACGAAUGGCGUAAUGAUGGCCAGGCUGUCUCCACCCGAGACUCAGUGAAAUUGAACUCGCUGUGAAGAUGCAGUGUACCCGCGGCAAGACGGAAAGACCCCGUGAACCUUUACUAUAGCUUGACACUGAACAUUGAGCCUUGAUGUGUAGGAUAGGUGGGAGGCUUUGAAGUGUGGACGCCAGUCUGCAUGGAGCCGACCUUGAAAUACCACCCUUUAAUGUUUGAUGUUCUAACGUGGACCCGUAAUCCGGGUUGCGGACAGUGUCUGGUGGGUAGUUUGACUGGGGCGGUCUCCUCCUAAAGAGUAACGGAGGAGCACGAAGGUUGGCUAAUCCUGGUCGGACAUCAGGAGGUUAGUGCAAUGGCAUAAGCCAGCUUGACUGCGAGCGUGACGGCGCGAGCAGGUGCGAAAGCAGGUCAUAGUGAUCCGGUGGUUCUGAAUGGAAGGGCCAUCGCUCAACGGAUAAAAGGUACUCCGGGGAUAACAGGCUGAUACCGCCCAAGAGUUCAUAUCGACGGCGGUGUUUGGCACCUCGAUGUCGGCUCAUCACAUCCUGGGGCUGAAGUAGGUCCCAAGGGUAUGGCUGUUCGCCAUUUAAAGUGGUACGCGAGCUGGGUUUAGAACGUCGUGAGACAGUUCGGUCCCUAUCUGCCGUGGGCGCUGGAGAACUGAGGGGGGCUGCUCCUAGUACGAGAGGACCGGAGUGGACGCAUCACUGGUGUUCGGGUUGUCAUGCCAAUGGCACUGCCCGGUAGCUAAAUGCGGAAGAGAUAAGUGCUGAAAGCAUCUAAGCACGAAACUUGCCCCGA
rnacentral:rRNA from 2 species